rnacentral:rRNA from 1 species
AGUGAACGCUGGCGGUAGGCCUAACACAUGCAAGUCGAACGGCAGCACAGUAAGAGCUUGCUCUUACGGGUGGCGAGUGGCGGACGGGUGAGGAAUACAUCGGAAUCUACUUUUUCGUGGGGGAUAACGUAGGGAAACUUACGCUAAUACCGCAUACGACCUACGGGUGAAAGCAGGGGAUCUUCGGACCUUGCGCGAGUGAAUGAGCCGAUGUCGGAUUAGCUAGUUGGCGGGGUAAAGGCCCACCAAGGCGACGAUCCGUAGCUGGUCUGAGAGGAUGAUCAGCCACACUGGAACGGAGACACGGUCCAGAGUCCUACGGGAGGCAGCAGGGGGGAAUAUUGGGCAAUGGGCGCAAGCCUGAUCCAGCCAUACCGCGUAGGUGAAGAAGGCCUUCGGGUUGUAAAGCCCUUUUGUUGGGAAAGAAAAGCAGCAGGUUAAGACCCCGCUGUUCUGACGGUACCCAAAGAAUAAGCACCGGCUAACUUCGUG